AAUCACCGCCCUCGCACACAGCCAGAAAAAACAUCCAGUCCCUCGCCCCCUAUCCAAAGUUCCAAACCCUGGAUACGGCACCGCCGCCGCCGCAUUUGGUCCGCCGGCCACCGCGGUCCUGUGCCCUCGCCGUCACCGGGCACAGCUCCGACUCCCUGGCAGCCUGCAGCCCUUCCCCUCCGCCUUGCUGCACGCGCCGCCUUACAUCUCGGCCUCCUCCCCCAAAAUCAAUCGGGGCGGCGUAGAAGAUGAGGUGAGGAUUCCGGGAUCUUUGCUCUUUCGCAACAGCGCCCCUGCGCCCGCGUCCUCAUGGUCGUCAAAGACGCCACCGCCGGCCAAGCCCUACAUGUGCGGCCACCACCAGCAACAGCAGCAGCAUCGCGUCACUGGAUGCCGCUGAGUUCAACCACGCCCGUCGAGUCAACUCCUUCGGGUAUUUCAUUCUGUGGCCCUUCACAUCAUGAAAGAGGGAUAUUCAGUAGAUUUCUGGGAGCUCCAUGGCUUCACAUCAUGACAUGCAUAUACCGUUUUAGAUUUCAAGAAAGAUUGCAUUUUUUUAGGGGAUAUGGUGUCCACAAUCUAGAUCCGUGUUCAGUACUUUCUGUGUUAGUACUGCCUCCAUUGUCCAUUUAGCCAAGAACUGAUCCUACUUCCUUGCAAUGUAUAUUUCAAUAUUUGUACUCCUUAGAGAUGUUUCUUCAUCUUCCUUUAGAUGAGUAAACAGAUGCUAAAGGGUCAUGAAGGAGUGCAAGUCGAGAUUAUUGGUAGGCUGCCGACACCGUUUGGCUUGGUUCGUUCUGAAAUGGCUCCAGAUCAUCCGAAAACAAAGGAUUUUUCUGUCAGACAUGAUUGUACUAUGGGGAAGCUAAAGAUAGCGAGCUUUGACAAUCACCUGUCAGAAAAGAUCAUUCUCAUGUGUUUCAGUAGCUCAGGGAUAAAGUUAGGUUGGUCUCUUGGUGGCAUCAUCUUCAUGACCUGUUGUUUGCUGCCACCGACGUGUAGCAGAUUUCAAAGAAAGGCGGCUCUCUAUGGAGCUAAGGGCAGAUGAAAAGAUUUUAGAGGGAUGAGAUUAUGAGAGACCAUGUGAAGCACUAAGAUAAAGAGCUUAAAUCUAAGAUGAAGCCUACAUCUUCGACUAAAUUUUCUGGAUCAAACAAACAUUGAGAAGGAUGUUGUUGAGUGGUAGCACUAAAUCACUGACAUUUCAAAGAAGUUAUCCCUAUGCAGGUGUGCUAGAGAAGAUUUACCCUAUCUGUUCUAUAUAUAUGACUUGAUGAUACUUAGACUACAAAAGGAGUCGACUUGUGAAAAUGAUCUUCUUCUAGAAGUACAGCAUGAGCCAACGUUUGAUUGUCUCUGAUGAAACUGACAACCUGCAAAGUCAAAUUUUGAGAGAUGGAAGCAGGAAGAAGUACAGCUUGAGAUAUACUCGCAAGGCACUAAAAGCUUAUCGGCAAGCUGUCUCAACGAAAAUGGCAGAUCGGGAAGCUCUACUUCGCCCGGUGUAGUUAAAAUCAUUUUGCAAAAACAUUCAUUUCUGAUGGAGCAGUGGCAGGACCUUGAUUUUUCUCUUUACUCUUCCUUCUGUACAACCUAUGGUUUCAUCCCAAAAUUUGUAAUUUGACAAUAGAUAUUCAGGUUGUCCAUGCUAUUGGCUGCUCCGCGCCUCCGCCAUUUCCAUCCUCACAUGAUAUCUUAUCUUGGAAUUGAGAAUUUGUUUGCUGUGCUCUUUUGGCAACACAAAAUCAAGCUCAUUUUAUCUAUUUUUGCUUUAUUCAUUUUCCAGGUGCAGAAAUUCAGCUUUUUUUUAAUCGAUUAACCUGUGACGGUUUACUUGCUAAACUGGAGUUAGAAUAUCAAGAAAACUAUUUAUAUCAGAGAUAAAAACAGAAUUCAAUCUAUACGUCUUCCGUAUUCCUUGAUUGUCACCUUCCAGUUCUUCUGAGUUUUUUACAUAGUCAUUGUCUCCCUUUUCUUUUCUUGUUUUAAUCAUACAUUGUGUUUGCUGGGUGCCAUAUUAAGAGAUUAACUCGGGUUUGGACUUGUGAGGGCAUCGCCCUCCUUGCUCAUAAAUCGCUCGCCCACUUGCUGACUAAUAAAAUGUGUUAUCAUUCUCAUGUACACCUCAUCAGAAAUAUGGGUCAGAUUAGUAAUUUUUCUAAACUCCUAUUAAAAACGCACGAUUUGGUUGAAAAGCACUGCCACUGUUUGCAUGAAAAAACAGAAGAAAUUUCAGUCCAAAUAGCUCCUAAAUGAAGACCAAAACAGGGAAUAAUGGUGAAUGGAAGAAACAGCUUUAUUAUGCAUAUUGGAGCACACACAGUGUUGAAUGAGGGACAAGGAGAUUCGACUUGAUACCUCUCCACCACUAUGGGUUUGUUGACAGAUGUCAUUGGCCAAG